UGUAACAGCAUCUCCAUAUGGAAAAACUGUGGCUUCCAGUGGAGCUGCUGUUAUCUG
ensembl:miRNA